rnacentral:rRNA from 1 species
AUUGAACGCUGGCGGCAUGCCUUACACAUGCAAGUCGAACGGCAGCACGGGUGCUUGCACCUGGUGGCGAGUGGCGAACGGGUGAGUAAUACAUCGGAACAUGUCCUGUAGUGGGGGAUAUCCCGGCGAAAGCCGGAUUAAUACCGCAUACGAUCCACGGAUGAAAGCGGGGGACCUUCGGGCCUCGCGCUAUAGGGUUGGCCGAUGGCUGAUUAGCUAGUUGGUGGGGUAAAGGCCUACCAAGGCGACGAUCAGUAGCUGGUCUGAGAGGACGACCAGCCACACUGGGACUGAGACACGGCCCAGACUCCUACGGGAGGCAGCAGUGGGGAAUUUUGGACAAUGGGCGAAAGCCUGAUCAAGCAAUGCCGCGUGUGUGAAGAAGGACUUCGGGUUGUAAAGAACUUUUGUCCGGAAAGAAAUCCUUGGCUCUAAUACAGGCGGGGGAUGACGGUACCGGAAGAAUAAGCACCGGCUAACUACGUG